UACGGGGGGGGCAAGCGUUGUUCGGAAUUACUGGGCGUAAAGGGCUCGUAGGCGGCCAACUAAGUCAGACGUGAAAUCCCUCGGCUUAACCGGGGAGCUGCAUCUGAUACUGGAUGGCUUGAGUUCGGGAGAGGGAUGCGGAAUUCCAGGUGUAGCGGUGAAAUGCGUAGAUAUCUGGAGGAACACCGGUGGCGAAGGCGGCAUCCUGGACCGACACUGACGCUGAGGAGCGAAAGCCAGGGGAGCAAACGGG
rnacentral:rRNA from 1 species